UUGGUUUCGAUCGAGCCUUCUUCAUAAAAUCUUCACAGAACUUAGGGGAGAACAUUCUUGACUCUUAAAUCGUCCAAAACCGUCAAGAAACGAGGAAAAUCUAAAGGGAGGAUUACGCUCAAAACCUGUGAACGAAAUUGUAAUCGAUUCAAAUCAGAAAUGGGAGUUUCGGCGUUCGUCAAAGGAGGAGAAAGGAGAACGCAGACAACGACUAGGACACGUGUUAGGCGGAGAAGGAGGCUGCGCUUCACCGGAGAAAGAGGGACACGUGUCAAGCAUCUAUUGGUGAAGAAAAUCAAAGAAAUACUUCGUGUUGGGCAGGAUUAGAAGGCCAAUGGCCGGCUACUCGAGUCCGCGACCCGAUGACCCGCGAGCUACCCGAACC